UCUUAAGAUAUUUCGUGGAAACGCGAUUCGUCAAGAAGACCAGGGAAAAUUGUAUAUCCGCGGCAUAGACACGAAAUAUUUAUUAAUACGAAACGUAGCAAUUCGCUAGGGACAAGUGGGACAAGAUACUCAUCGAGUAACAGUCCGCGCGGCCGUGUCGGAUCGCGAGACAGCAUUAUGACAUUCCAUUUCUCUGGUAACGAACAUUAAUUGAACAUCAAAAUUGGAACCGCGAGCAACGAAAUUGUAUAAUCGAAUUACGGAAUUCCCUCACUGGUAACAUGAUUCGUGGGAAAGAGGAAAAAGUCUCGCUCGGAUUAGUAUCGUACCUACACCGGUUACGUCAUUCGUAUGCAAGUUUUGUUAAUUGCUUCAUUAAAACACAACUUUUAAACGUUAUCAAUAACAUCCUGUUGUUCGUGCUAUAAUUGGAAGGAGGACGACGAUUAUAAAUGCAAAAACGAGUGGAAAACAUUGAAUAAAACUGUUUUGUACGAGACCUUUUUUUUUAAUCUCGUGUUUUACGUCACGCGCGUCUUUGAAGUUGAAGUUUAUUAGUGCAGAGUCGUGGUGGAUAGCUAUUCUUCGUCGCAGUUGCUCGCCGGCUCGUUGGGGACUGCCGCCACAUCCGGAUCGUGCUCGGUAAUUUACAUCGACGCUUAAAAAGCAAAGGAGGAAUAAUCGUUAGGGACAAGAACGAGUUGCCUUCUGAUGUAACGAUCUUGUUUUGACGGAACUGCGUAGUCGGAGGGAAACAGAAUGAGAAAGAAGUUGGGAAUUGUCUGGAAGAACAUUUCGCAAGCCAAUUAAAUAUAAAAUACAGCGUCGAUUAAAAAUUAUUACGAAGAAAUUUUCGCAUGGAAGAUGGUGCGUAGAGACUUGACUUUCAGCGAAACAGCGAAAGAAUUGAGCGAAAUUAUAGGAAACAAGAGAAACGAUCAAUUUCAACAAAUGGUUAUGGAAACUAUUUCUGGAAAAAUAGACGACGAAAACGCGAUGAAACGUGACACACAGCACUGGUAACCAGCAGGAAGAAAGGACUGGCAUAAAUUUAUGCCGAGUCAGCUGGUGAAUUGAAAGAGUUCCUUUUAACCCUUUGUGAGAUGAUGAAAUUACGUGACCUGUCGAACUCUUCCUAUAGCGCGUCUUUGAAGACAGAAAGAGAUUGUCACCAAGAGAUUGACUGUCAAAAUUAUCUCUAAUUUGAUUAAAUUUCAGAAGAAAAUCCACGAUUCGUACACAUUGCAAUAAUUUAAUACGACAGUCGGAAUUUCCUGAAAAUUCUCCACUCAAAAUCCUCCGUGUACAUAAAUUUCCCCUUUUCUUCGUAAAAUGAUAGUAACAAAAUAUUCAAAUACAUAUACAAUGUCUCACUUCCCACUCUCAGUUACCUCAUAUCCAUUUUUACGAAGUUCUAAGAAAAGCUCUGAAAUCAUCUUGGCAAACAAUAAUUUCAACGUUUCUUCUGCCUCAAAAAAGCACCUUCUACUUUUAUCUUCGAUAAAAUUACCGGACAUUCUGUAAAAUGUGACACUUUCACGAAAAGAAUCGGCAUAGUGUGUGGCCUAUUAAAAAUUAAUCGACGCCUUUCAAUUUAUCACCACGGCAUGGAAAUCCUGGAAAUCCUGAAAAUCGCCGUAGAUCCAUCGUUCUAAAUUUCGAACAAAUCUCUUACAAAGGGUUAAAGACUCGUAACGUCGGUCAGGUUCACCGUUGAAAACGUCGCGUUUACGA